CCUAAAGUAUGAUGCUGCCACCACAGGGGAUGGUGCCAGGUUUCCUCCAGACAUGACGCUUGGGAUUCAGGCCAAAGACUUCAAUCAGAGAAUCUGGCGGGCUGUCAUGAGCAUUUUACCGAGGAGUGGCUUCCGCCUGGCCAUGCUACCAUAAAAGGCCUGAUUGGUUGAGUGCUGCAGAGAUGGGAGAACCUUCCAGACGGACAACCAUCUCCAAAGAGGAACUCUGACAGAGUGAACAUUGGGUUCUCAGUCAACUCCCUGAACAAUGUCCUUCUCCCCCGAUUGCUCAGUUUGUGCCUCGACAAAAUCCUGUCUUGGGAGGACUACAGCCUUCUACCGCAUGGCUUGGUUUUUGCUCUGUCAUGCACGGUCAACUAUGGGACCUUGUAUAGACAGGUGUGUGCCUUUCCAUAUCAUGUCCAAUCAAUUGGAUUUACCACAGGUGGACUCAAGAGUCCAUUUUUCACUCUCAAGAAAAAUCUCAAGGAUGAUCAAUGGAAACAGGAUGCAUUUCAAGUUCCAUUUCAAGUCUCAAAACAAAGGGUCUGAAUACUUAUGUAAAUUUAAAAAAAUUGGGGGGGGGGAUACAUUUACAAAAAUGACAAAUUGGUUUUUCGCUUUGUCAUUAUGUAGUAUUGUGUGUAGAUUGAUUAAAUAAAAAUUCCUCAGCAUUUUCAGAAUAAGGCUGUAGCGUAAAAAAAUAUGGAAAAGGGUCAAGGGGUUCUGAAUAAUUUUCCAAUGCACUGUACAUACGUUGUCUCAACUGUAUCAAAAAAGUUGUUUUCGUUGUUGGCUACCUAGCUAGCCAAUUGCAUACAGGUAAAGUUACAGCCAGCUAGCUAGCUGAGCUGGCCAGUUGCAUUCUGCUCUUAAUGUUGAUUGCUGAUGUGCUAAGCCAUGCAUGACAUAAUGAUAAUCUUUGUCAUGUUGGUCAGUUUGUCAUGUUUACCUAGCUAGCUACUGAAAUUAGCCACUGUGGUGCGAAUGCUAAUCAAACUCCAUGUUAAGUGAUAGGGACAUGCUAAAUUGGCUAGCUAGUCACAAUGAAAUUAUGGCUAAAUAGUUAGCCAUCUACACUGGAUUAUAGAACUCGGUUGUUUUUUUGCAUGUUCAACUAGCUGGUAAUUAUCUAGUUAAACGUUUCCUAAAUCCAUUUAGUUAUUGUUUAGUGUCUGCAUUGCAAUCGUAUGGCUGGAAGCAGGUUGAGUGUACAGGGCAUUUUAGUACAGCUGUAUAGCAGUCAACAGGUAAAGAUAUAGGAGAUGAAUGAAUUUGUGUAUUAACCUGUUUUUCUGGAUUUGUCUUUCAGCAUAAACCUGCUCUCCGCCCCCAGUACAAGGAGAUGAACGAGGGUGAACAACCAACAUUUCAGCUUCAAUUGUCUGGAGCCUGGUGUUGUUGCAGCCAAGGCGCUUUCACUCAGCUGGGACCAGGUUUCAGCUGCUGUGCAACGUUGAUGUCCUUCCUCCCAGAGAUGUGCAACCAUCCCCCAUGCAUGUAUUUUUUUUUUGAAAAUCAGGACUUUUGCACUGAAAAGGCUAUGGGCAUUACAUGACCUGCUCCAAAGCACAGGACAGAAAUAUGCUAUUUUCAGGUCUCUCCAAAGAUGUUAGACCGUGUUCAAGUCCGGGCUCUGGCUGGGCCACUCAAGGACAUUCAGAGACUUGUCCCGAAGCCACUCCUGCGUUGUCUUGGCUGUGUGCUUAGGGUCAUUGUCCUGUUGGAAAGUGAACCUUCUCCCCAGUUUGAGGUCCUGAGCACUCUGGAGCAGGUUUACAUCAAGGAUCUCUGUACUUUUCUCCGUUCAUCUUUGCCAUGAUCCGGAAUAGUCUUCCAGUCCCUGCCCCUGAAAAACAUCCCCACAGCAUGAUGCUGCCACCACUAUUCUCCCAUCACCACAUAGGAACUCUGGAGCUGACCAAGGCUCUUCUCCACCGAACACUGUUUAGAUAUUUUUUUAUACAUUUGCUAAAAUUUCCAAAAAACUGUUUUCGCUUUGUCAUUGGGUAUUGUGUGUAGAUUGAGGAGGAUAAAUAUUUAUUCAAUCCAUUUUAGAAUAAGGCCGCAAGGUAACAAAAUGUGGAAAAGUAAAAGGGUCUGAAUUCUUUCUGAAUAUACCAUUUUGAAGCUCUGAGUCUGUACUUUUACCCAAUGAAAAAAAAAUAACAUAAAAAAUGUUGGAACAUAACACCAAAAACAGAAGGUGGUGGGGUCACAAAUCAGGUGUUAAACUAGGUGAAAAGGUGACUUGAGUGCCACCAAUAUCCCAGUCCAUCACCAGCAUAGACCUCUGCAGUCUGCACACACUUCUUUCCACCACUACAUGGACAGGUUAAGAUGGUGUUUGAUACAACAGCGCGGUGGCAGGUACCUGUAGGAAGGCCGUCUGGCUAGUAUCUCUCUGGUUUUCUGGGCAGAGGCUCCACUGUCUGAGGAGUCCUGGGAAUCGUCACUGUCUGAGCCCUGGCCCUGUGGAGGAGAAGAGACGCCGGUACAUGAGUUACUCAUACACCAUGUUUACUUAGAAGGUUCUGCACAGUCAAAUCAUUAUUUGUGAUAUUUUGAUGAAAUCAGAUCAUGAAAAAUGAGUGUUGCUGGUACAUUGAUAAAGUUUGAUCAUAAAGUUAUUGGUCAACUUCCCCAUGUCAAACACUUGAAUUCAGAAGGCGGGAUUAUUUAGGGGGAUUGUGAUAUCAAAAUCUAAUUUGAAUACACCAAUGGUAACAUCUUAUUCUCUCACCUAAUUUAAAUACCUUGUAACCAACAUCGUAGAAGGUGUGGUUUACCAAACUAGAAAGCUAAUCUACUGGUGCCAGAAUUUGACUGCAAUGUGUCAGCAAAUAAAAUUAACUAGUCUAAAGUA